rnacentral:lncRNA from 1 species
AGAUCUACUGACUCCUGCCUCUGUUAAUCUAGUAUGUUUGUUUUGUUUCUUUUUUUAUUUUUAGUUUAUUUAUAUGUUUUGCACUUUAGUCUGACAUCCAUUUUCACGGAACUACUACACAUGUGUAUUUAGAUGCCAGCUAAAGACCACCUCCGAAUGCAGCGUUGAAUACACAUUGAUUGUCUGCUCUUGGGUCGGGUUGUUGUCUCUGAAAUAUUUCUCAUGUCCAUUCUCGAUUUGGUUUUUGUUAUUAUAUC